rnacentral:rRNA from 1 species
UACGGGGGGAGCAAGCGUUGUUCGGAUUUACUGGGCGUAAAGGGCGCGUAGGCGGUCAGCACAAGUCAGUUGUGAAAUCUCCGGGCUUAACUCGGAAAGGUCAACUGAUACUGUGCGACUAGAGUGCGGAAGGGGCAACUGGAAUUCUUGGUGUAGCGGUGAAAUGCGUAGAUAUCAAGAGGAACACCUGCGGCGAAGGCGGGUUGCUGGGCCGACACUGACGCUGAGGCGCGAAAGCCAGGGGAUCAAACAGG